rnacentral:rRNA from 1 species
UACGGGGGGGGCAAGCGUUGUUCGGAAUUACUGGGCGUAAAGGGUCGUAGGUGGCCAACUCAGUCAGACGUGAAAUCCCUCAGCUCAACUGGGGAACUGCGUCUGAUACUAGAUGGCUCGAGUGCAGGAGAGGAACGCGGAAUUCCAGGUGUAGCGGUGAAAUGCGUAGAUAUCUGGAGGAACACCGGUGGCGAAGGCGGCGUUCUGGACUGCAACUGACACUGAGGAACGAAAGCCAGGGGAGCAAACGGG